GUGGGAAGUCAACUGGCAGCCGAUGGAGU
rnacentral:piRNA from 1 species